rnacentral:tRNA from 1 species
GAUAAGAUGCCUGAAUAAAGGAUAAUUUUGAUAGAAUUAAUAAUGUGAAUCUUCACUCUUAUUA